rnacentral:lncRNA from 1 species
UUGUACCGUCUAGUGUUCCUUCUCAUUAUCAAGACAAAUGAAAAGGUUGUGCAUGCAAGAAAGACAUCCACAUCAAUUCUAUCAAACCGAAGUAAUCAAAUCAUGGCCAAGUCCCUACCUGCCUCGCCUCUCCAUGGAGUCACCUCAUUUAAUGACAGCCCCACCAUCAAUGGAUGAGUUAGUAGUUCAUCCCUCACAAUUUAACACUAUGUUUGGGAUGUUGUUUCACAUUGUUUCAUAAUGUAUUUUUGUAAUGCAGUAGUCAAAUCAUGGCCAAGUCCCUACCUGCCUCGCCUCUCCAUGGAAUCGCUUCAUUUGAUGACAGUCCCAACAACAAUGGAUGAGUUAGUAGUAUGUUACUCACGAUUUAACACUAUGUUUAGGUUGUUAUUUCACAUUGUUUCAUAAUGUAUUUCUGUAGCGUA